AUUGAACGCUGGCGGCAGGCCUAACACAUGCAAGUCGAACGGUAACAGGAAACAGCUUGCUGUUUCGCUGACGAGUGGCGGACGGGUGAGUAAUGUCUGGGAAACUGCCUGAUGGAGGGGGAUAACUACUGGAAACGGUAGCUAAUACCGCAUAACGUCGCAAGACCAAAGAGGGGGACCUUCGGGCCUCUUGCCAUCGGAUGUGCCCAGAUGGGAUUAGCUAGUAGGUGGGGUAACGGCUCACCUAGGCGACGAUCCCUAGCUGGUCUGAGAGGAUGACCAGCCACGCUGGAACUGAGACACGGUCCAGACUCCUACGGGAGGCAGCAGUGGGGAAUAUUGCACAAUGGGCGCAAGCCUGAUGCAGCCAUGCCGCGUGUAUGAAGAAGGCCUUCGGGUUGUAAAGUACUUUCAGCGGGGAUGAAGGGAGUAAAGUUAAUACCUUUGCUCAUUGACGUUACCCGCAGAAGAAGCACCGGCUAACUCCGUG
rnacentral:rRNA from 1 species